ACAUGUACCUGGCAGGGAACACCCCAUGACCACGAACACGGUUUUCCUAGGACGAGGCUCAUCCAGGGCACUCCGAGUGUGCUGACCCCUGUGAUCUCCCCCAUUGUGGGAAACUGGACUGCAGAGUUUGUGGUAGUGGGGCACAGUGUUUGUGCUCACCCCUG